AACGAACGCUGGCGGCAGGCUUAACACAUGCAAGUCGAGCGCCCACUUCGGUGGGAGCGGCAGACGGGUGAGUAACGCGUAGGAAUGUGCCUUUUGGUUCGGAAUAGCCCCGGGAAACUGGGAGUAAUACCGGAUAAGCCCUUCGGGGGAAAGAUUUAUCGCCAAAAGAUCAGCCCGCGUUAGAUUAGCUAGUUGGUGAGGUAACGGCUCACCAAGGCGACGAUCUAUAGCUGGUCUGAGAGGACGACCAGCCACACUGGAACUGAGACACGGUCCAGACUCCUACGGGAGGCAGCAGUGGGGAAUCUUGGACAAUGGGCGCAAGCCUGAUCCAGCCAUGCCGCGUGAAUGAUGAAGGCCUUAGGGUUGUAAAAUUCUUUCAGCAGGGAAGAUAAUGACGGUACCUGCAAAAGAAGCCCCGGCUAACUCCGUGUCAUCAGCCGCGGUAAUACGAAGGGUGCUAGCGUUGUUCGGAAUUACUGGGCGUAAAGAGCAUGUAGGCGGAUGAAUUAGUCAGAGGUGAAAGCCCCGAGCUCAACUUGGGAACUGCCUUUGAUACUGUUCAUCUUGAGACCGAGAGAGGUUAGUGGAAUUCCCAGUGUAGAGGUGAAAUUCGUAGAUAUUGGGAAGAAAACCAGUGGCGAAGGGCGGCUAACUGGCUUGGUACUGACGCUGAGAUGCGAAAGCGUGGGGAGCGAACAGGAUUAGAUACCCUGGUAGUCCACGCCGUAAACGAUGAGUGCUAGCUGUUGGGGCCUUAGGUCUCAGUGGCGCAGCUAACGCAUUAAGCACUCCGCCUGGGGAGUACGGUCGCAAGAUUAAAACUCAAAGGAAUUGACGGGGGCCCGCACAAGCGGUGGAGCAUGUGGUUUAAUUCGAAGCAACGCGAAGAACCUUACCAGCUCUUGACAUACCAAUCGCGGAUUUUGGAGACAGAAUCCUUCAGUUAGGCUGGAUUGGAUACAGGUGCUGCACGGCUGUCGUCAGCUCGUGUCGUGAGAUGUUGGGUUAAGUCCCGCAACGAGCGCAACCCUCGCCCUUAGUUGCCAUCAUUUAGUUGGGCACUCUAGGGGAACUGCCGGUGACAAGCCGGAGGAAGGUGGGGAUGACGUCAAGUCCUCAUGGCCCUUACGGGCUGGGCUACACACGUGCUACAAUGGCGGAUACAGUGGGUUGCUACCUUGCGAGAGGAAGCUAAUCCCUAAAAUCCGUCUCAGUUCGGAUUGUUCUCUGCAACUCGAGAGCAUGAAGUCGGAAUCGCUAGUAAUCGUGGAUCAGCAUGCCACGGUGAAUACGUUCCCGGGCCUUGUACACACCGCCCGUCACACCAUGGGAGUUGGUUUUACCCGAAGGUGGUGCGCUAACCUGAAGGAGGCAGCCAACCACGGUAAGGUCAGCGACUGGGGUGAAGU
rnacentral:rRNA from 1 species